rnacentral:rRNA from 1 species
UGAGGAAUAUUGGUCAAUGGACGCAAGUCUGAACCAGCCAAGGAGCGUGCAGGAUGACGGCCCUAUGGGUUGUAAACUGCUUUUAUAGGGGGAUAAAGUAGGGAACGUGUUCCCUUUUGCAGGUACCAUAUGAAUAAGGACCGGCUAAUUCCGCGCCAGCAGCCGCGGUAAUACGGAAGGUUCGGGCGUUAUCCGGAUUUAUUGGGUUUAAAGGGAGCGUAGGCCGUUUGGUAAGCGUGUUGUGAAAUGUAGGAGCUCAACUUCUAGAUUGCAGCGCGAACUGUCAGACUUGAGUGCGCACAACGUAGGCGGAAUUCAUGGUGUAGCGGUGAAAUGCUUAGAUAUCAUGAAGAACUCCGAUUGCGAAGGCAGCUUACGGGAGCGCAACUGACGCUGAAGCUCGAAGGUGCGGGUAUCGAACAGG